rnacentral:rRNA from 1 species
AUUGAACGCUGGCGGCAGGCCUAACACAUGCAAGUCGAGCGGAUGAAGGGAGCUUGCUCCUGGAUUCAGCGGCGGACGGGUGAGUAAUGCCUAGGAAUCUGCCUGGUAGUGGGGGAUAACGUCCGGAAACGGGCGCUAAUACCGCAUACGUCCUGAGGGAGAAAGUGGGGGAUCUUCGGACCUCACGCUAUCAGAUGAGCUAGGUCGGAUUAGCUAGUUGGUGGGGUAAAGGCCUACCAAGGCGACGAUCCGUAACUGGUCUGAGAGGAUGAUCAGUCACACUGGAACUGAGACACGGUCCAGACUCCUACGGGAGGCAGCAGUGGGGAAUAUUGGACAAUGGGCGAAAGCCUGAUCCAGCCAUGCCGCGUGUGUGAAGAAGGUCUUCGGAUUGUAAAGCACUUUAAGUUGGGAGGAAGGGCAGUAAGUUAAUACCUUGCUGUUUUGACGUUACCAACAGAAUAAGCACCGGCUAACUUCGUG